rnacentral:rRNA from 1 species
GACGAACGCUGGCGGCGUGCCUAAUACAUGCAAGUAGAACGCUGAAGGAGGAGCUUGCUUCUCCGGAUGAGUUGCGAACGGGUGAGUAACGCGUAGGUAACCUGCCUGGUAGCGGGGGAUAACUAUUGGAAACGAUAGCUAAUACCGCAUAAGAGUAGAUGUUGCAUGACAUUUGCUUAAAAGGUGCAAUUGCAUCACUACCAGAUGGACCUGCGUUGUAUUAGCUAGUUGGUGGGGUAACGGCUCACCAAGGCGACGAUACAUAGCCGACCUGAGAGGGUGAUCGGCCACACUGGGACUGAGACACGGCCCAGACUCCUACGGGAGGCAGCAGUAGGGAAUCUUCGGCAAUGGACGGAAGUCUGACCGAGCAACGCCGCGUGAGUGAAGAAGGUUUUCGGAUCGUAAAGCUCUGUUGUAAGAGAAGAACGAGUGUGAGAGUGGAAAGUUCACGCGGGUGACGGAUCUACCA